UACAGAGGUGGCAAGCGUUGUUCGGAAUUACUGGGCGUAAAGGGCGCGUAGGCGGCCGCCUAAGUCAGACGUGAAAUCCCUCGGCUCAACCGGGGAACUGCGUCUGAUACUGGGUGGCUUGAAUUCGGGAGAGGGAUGCGGAAUUCCAGGUGUAGCGGUGAAAUGCGUAGAUAUCUGGAGGAACACCGGUGGCGAAGGCGGCAUCCUGGACCGAGAUUGACGCUGAGGCGCGAAAGCCAGGGGAGCAAACGGGG
rnacentral:rRNA from 1 species